CAUUAAUACACUGUAAAUUUCAAGCAAUUUAAUCAACUCCAAAAGUGUUACUCCUAAUCAGAGCUCCUAAUAAUAUAUACUUUUGGAGUUGAUUCAACUUUUUGAAAUUUACAACUGUGCUGCAUGCAGUGCCGUAACCAGCCCAACUCCGGUGAGGACUCCAUAACAGACACCUAUACUUCAGAAGCAGACAAUGACGGUGCAUAUUGGUAUGAUGUUAUACUGCCUAAACCAGUAUCACUACUGCCAGGGGAAGACGUUACAAUAGUUGCGACAAUAACAGGACCUGCAGAGUCUUAAGGCCGGUGCAAUUUUUCUUGCAACUUGCAAUGCAAUUCUACUCUUGAGAGAUGUCAAUUAGUG